CAGAAGGGAUAUUUCACGGGAGCCAUGAUUUUACUAUCAAAUUGUUGGAGCUACUUGAAAGUUAAGAAAUAUUGCUCAAGGUUUAACUUCUUACAAGCCUGUUCCAGGCUACAUUAACGAUGUUAACAGGUUGGAUUAUUCAAUUGCUGAUGGUUCAGUAUUUGAAGAGUAUGUUUCUUUGUGAUGUGUUUACUACUGGAAUUAAAAAGAGUGAAAAGGAAGGUGAUUAAUUGAGAUUCAAGCUUAGCAUAUUAUGAAUAAUUACAUUUUACAGUUAGAAGAAUAUCACAAUCAGUUCUUCUAUCUUACUUGAAUCUUAUGCGUGUUUUAAAAGGGAAUUUGUUACUGUUUUCUGGCAAUGAAGCAUAAGAAGGGAAUCACGAGAAAAUUCAUAUCCUUUCAUUUAUAUUUUACCAAACAAAUUGACUUGAUGGAGGGUACAUGGUCUAGAAAUGAAUAGGCAGAUGUGGAAUGUGUCAACAAAUUGAAGGUUCUAAAAUUGGCUCAGAAAAUCUCGAUGGAGAAUUCGUAUUUGAGAAGCCCUUUUUAUAUAAUCCCAACGUUAAAUCUUCGCCUAUUUAAUUGUAUUACUAAUAUUUCUAUGGUAAGUUUGGAAGGAAUUGAUUGCUGCUAGAUUGGCUACUUCUUUAAGAAUGCAUAUCCGUUUAACAACCACCAUACAUUUAUAUUUAAUAUUCAGCAAUUAACGUGCAACA
rnacentral:lncRNA from 1 species